UGAACGCUGGCGGUCUGCUUAACACAUGCAAGUCGAACGAACUCUUCGGAGUGAGUGGCGGACGGGUGAGUAACGCGUGAGAAUCUGCCUGUGGGUCGGGGACAACCACUGGAAACGGUGGCUAAUACCGGAUGAGCCGAAAGGUAAAAAAUUUAUUGCCCACAGAUGAGCUCGCGUCUGAUUAGCUAGUUGGUAAGGUAAAAGCGUACCAAGGCGACGAUCAGUAGCUGGUCUGAGAGGAUGAGCAGCCACACUGGGACUGAGACACGGCCCAGACUCCUACGGGAGGCAGCAGUGGGGAAUUUUCCGCAAUGGGCGAAAGCCUGACGGAGCAAGACCGCGUGGGGGAGGAAGGUUUUUGGAUCGUAAACCCCUUUUGUCAAGGAAGAAGUUUUGACGGUACUUGACGAAUAAGCCUCGGCUAACUCCGUGCCAGCAGCCGCGGUAAUACGGAGGAGGCAAGCGUUAUCCGGAAUGAUUGGGCGUAAAGCGUCUGUAGGUGGCCAGCUAAGUCUGCUGUUAAAGAUCACAGCUCA
rnacentral:rRNA from 1 species